rnacentral:tRNA from 6 species
GAACAUUCUAUUCGUUGUGUUGUAACAGAAACAG